rnacentral:rRNA from 1 species
GACGAACGCUGGCGGCGUGCUUAACACAUGCAAGUCGAACGGAAAGGCCCUGCUUUUGUGGGGUGCUCGAGUGGCGAAUGGGUGAGUAACACGUGAGUAACCUGCCCUUGACUUUGGGAUAACUUCAGGAAACUGGGGCUAAUACCGGAUAGGAGCUCCUGCUGCAUGGUGGGGGUUGGAAAGUUUCGGCGGUUGGGGAUGGACUCGCGGCUUAUCAGCUUGUUGGUGGGGUAGUGGCUUACCAAGGCUUUGACGGGUAGCCGGCCUGAGAGGGUGACCGGCCACAUUGGGACUGAGAUACGGCCCAGACUCCUACGGGAGGCAGCAGUGGGGAAUAUUGCACAAUGGGCGGAAGCCUGAUGCAGCAACGCCGCGUGCGGGAUGACGGCCUUCGGGUUGUAAACCGCUUUCGCCUGUGACGAAGCGUGAGUGACGGUAAUGGGUAAAGAAACACCGGCUAACUACGU